UUCUCUCUGCCAUGUGCGUGAGGCUGCAAUGCCCAGGCGGAAUACUCAUUUGUUCGGGGGUCUUGAUCGAUCGUGGUGUGCUGCCCCUCUGCGGGAUUUGCCUGAAGCGAUACAGAGACGCCCACGUGUUAGGGAACUCGCUCGGAGGCCCUUAAGCUAACGGCAUGGUGGAGAGAGU
rnacentral:other from 1 species